ACGAACGCUGGCGGCGUGCUUAACACAUGCAAGUCGAACGAAGAGCGAUGGAAGCUUGCUUCUAUCAAUCUUAGUGGCGAACGGGUGAGUAACGCGUAAUCAACCUGCCCUUCAGAGGGGGACAACAGUUGGAAACGACUGCUAAUACCGCAUACGAUCUAAUCUCGGCAUCGAGGAUAGAUGAAAGGUGGCCUCUACAUGUAAGCUAUCACUGAAGGAGGGGAUUGCGUCUGAUUAGCUAGUUGGAGGGGUAACGGCCCACCAAGGCGAUGAUCAGUAGCCGGUCUGAGAGGAUGCACGGCCACAUUGGGACUGAGACACGGCCCAGACUCCUACGGGAGGCAGCAGUGGGGAAUCUUCCGCAAUGGACGAAAGUCUGACGGAGCAACGCCGCGUGAGUGAUGACGGCCUUCGGGUUGUAGAGCUCUGUUAAUCGGGACGAAAGGCCUUCUUGCGAACAGUUAGAAGGAUUGACGGUACCGGAAUAGAAAGCCACGGCUAACUACGUG
rnacentral:rRNA from 1 species